GACGAACGCUGGCGGCGUGCCUAACACAUGCAAGUCGAGCGAAGUUUUUUAAAGAAGAUUUCUUCGGAAUGAAACUUUAAUUAUCUUAGCGGCGGACGGGUGAGUGACGCGUGAGAAACCUGCCUUUUACAAAGGGAUAGCCUCGGGAAACUGGGAUUAAUACCUUAUGACACUUAAAUGUCGCAUGAGAUUUAAGUCAAAGCGUAAAGCGGUAAAAGAUGGUCUCGCGUCCCAUUAGUUAGUUGGUGAGGUAGUGGCUUACCAAGGCGACGAUCAGUAGCCGGAUUGAGAGGUUGAACGGCCACACUGGAACUGAGACACGGUCCAG
rnacentral:rRNA from 1 species